rnacentral:rRNA from 1 species
AAAACUUUCAACAACGGAUCUCUUGGUUCCGGCGUCGAUGAAGAACGCAGCGAAAUGCGAAAAGUAAUGUGAAUUGCAGAAUUCCGCGAAUCAUCGAAUCUUUGAACGCACAUUGCGCCCUUUGGUAUU